AUAAAAGUUAUGCCGCAAUUAUUAUAUAGUAGUCCAAAAAUAUGACUUCUUAUUUAUCCCAGAAAUACAUUCGUGAAAAAAGGGAUCUUUAUCCUUUUUUUAUUUUCCACAUAAAAUAUUUAAGGAGUUCAAGAGCUCAAAACAUUCGCUACAUCAGCUACCUACUCGACGGCAUUUCGCAAAUGAUGAAAUAAAUUUUUCAAGAGCUCAAAGCAUGCGCUACCUUAGCUCGAACCUACAUACCUUACGCAUUUGCGCAAAUGAUUAUAUUAUGAUAACAAAUGCCCACAUACAGAUUUGGCAAUGGCAAUAGCAAUACGUUUGACUGUUAGUAUUCUAUAAAUUCUAUCCUGUCGAGAUGCCCCGUUAGCAGCGGCCCCGUACCCCUACUAAUUAGUAUUCCAUAAGCAAUAUGGAGUCUCCACACGCAAUACGCAAAGCAACACAGUUAGUAUACAAUACAUGUUUGCCUGUCGAGAUGCCCGUAAGGACUUGUGUUUAAUUUCCGACUCGAUUUAUGAAAGUUUCCCGUUAAUGUAACGGGAUCAUUAAAAGUGCCCAUACACGACACAGGGGCGUUCGAUCGGUGUGAAUUCGUUUCGCCCAUACACCAUGAGAUAAAGAGAUGUUUAACUCCUCUCUCACUGGAAGUGAGAGAACAAUUGCUAAACGUUAAAACCACCAAAACUUUGACAGUUGAUCGAGUUCAGGAGGUUUUGACGUUUAGCAAUUGGAAACGAGCGAUGGCCAGAUUGAAACCUUACCAAAAAGAUAUGUAAACGGAGGGAUUUGUUGCAUCGUUCAAGACCACCUAUAAAAAAUGUAAAACAAUGAAAAUUAAAUAAAUUUGUGAAAUUUAAAGGUAUUUGAUGAAACGUUUUGUAAUUUUAA